CUUUGUGGAAAUCGGAAGAAAAUUUUCAAACUACUGCAGUUGGAGAGAUUUGCUUUUUUUUUUCCCUGGAUUAGAUUAUAUUUCAUACUUGUUUACUAGAAAUUGGGGAUUGAGCUUUUACAGUAUGUUGCAGAGUGCUAGAGCAUGAUAUUUUGCUAUCUUUCCCUUUUCUAGUGUUACAUUAUAUGCUUUUUUGUGCAUAGAAUCAUUUUUAAUUUUCAAAGGGCUUUAAAUUUUUGCAGUGAUAUAGAUAAUCUCACGCUUUUACCUUUUGUUGAUCUCAAAAGAUAAAGUAAUAUCAUGGUGUAUUUCUAUCCGGCCUUCGUUUCUCCCCCUCUUUCCUGUAAU